GACAGAGGGUGCAAACGUUGUUCGGAAUUACUGGGCGUAAAGCGCGUGUAGGCGGCUAAGUAAGUCGGGCGUGAAAUCCCACGGCUCAACCGUGGAAGUGCACUCGAAACUGCAUAGCUAGAGUCCUGGAGAGGAAGGUGGAAUGCUUGGUGUAGAGGUGAAAUUCGUAGAUAUCAAGCGGAACACCGGUGGCGAAGGCGGGUCUCUGGGCCGUUACUGACGCUGAGGAGCGAAAGCGUGGGGAGCGAACAGG
rnacentral:rRNA from 1 species